CAGCACCUGACAAACCUAGACCUCCUGCUGCUGCUGUCCGGAAGCAGGUUGCAAAGGAACCCAAAAAAAUCAGUUCAGCUACAGAACCAGCAAAUUCUCCUGUGCAGAAAGAGGGAGUUGUAGAUGUCUCUAUGGAAUCAAGAAAGAAACCAGAAGAGAAUGUUGUUAGUGAUACAUCCGAGGGGAAAAAGGCUAUCUAUACCGUUGCAAAGCCCCAAUGGCUUGGUGCUGUUGAGAACAAGGAGAUUAAAGAGUCAAAUCAAGUAAUAGUAGUAGAUACGCAUAAAGUUGUUGACUUUGUUGACUAUAAAGAUAGGAAGAAAGUACUUGGGAGUGCUGACAAUCCACAGGUUAAAGAGCCAUCAGGAAUUGAAGCUACUGCCUCCGGUCUGAUUAUAAGAACACAGAAACAGGUUGAAAAGCCUGAAGCUGGUGAUAGACCUUCCAAUCAAUCUAUGACAC
rnacentral:lncRNA from 1 species